rnacentral:rRNA from 1 species
GUAGAGUGGCGCACGGGUGAGUAACGCGUAAGUAAUCUACCCUGGUAUCUGGGAUAACCCACCGAAAGGUGUGCUAAUACCGGAUACGCUGAUUUAUCAGGAAAGGUGGCCUCUUCAUGAAAGCUACUGUACCAGGAGGAGCUUGCGUACCAUUAGCUAGUUGGUAGGGUAAUGGCCUACCAAGGCAACGAUGGUUAGCGGGUCUGAGAGGAUGAUCCGCCACACUGGAACUGGAACACGGACCAGACUCCUACGGGAGGCAGCAGUGAGGAAUAUUGCGCAAUGGGGGAAACCCUGACGCAGCGACGCCGCGUGGAUGAUGAAGGCCUUCGGGUCGUAAAAUCCUGUCAGAUGGAAAGAAAUGUAUAAUGGUUAAUACCCAUUAUAUUUGACGGUACCAUCAAAGGAAGCACCGGCUAACUCCGUGCCAGCAGCCGCGGUAAUACGGAGGGUGCAAGCGUUGUUCGGAAUUACUGGGCGUAAAGCGCGCGUAGGCGGUUUGUUAAGUCAGAUGUGAAAGUCCACGGCUCAACCCGUGGAAGUGCAUUUGAAACUGGCAGACUUGAGUACUGGAGGGGGUUGGUGGAAUUCCCGGUGUAGAGGUGAAAUUCGUAGAUAUCGGGAGGAAAUACCGGUGGCGAAAGGCGACCACCUGGCCAGAUACUGACGCUGAGUGCGAAAGCGUGGGGAGCAAACAGGAUUAGAUACCCUGGUAGUCCACGCCGUAACGAUGUCAACUAG